GGUGCAAAACUCGCACUCCUCCAGAUUCUCAUUCCUAAAGAGAAUAAAAAAAAAGAAAAAAGCUUGGCUAUAUAACUGGUGCAUGGCAGCCAUAUCAAUUGACAGAAACUGUGAAAGACGUGUUGCUCACAAAUUCCCUUGAAUGCUUAUAUCAAAACAGUGAACCACAUGAAGAAGUAAAGAAGAAAAUAACGUGUCAUUCACCAAAAUAGCUGAAUCAAUUCAGGGAAUUAUGUGAUCUCAAUUUAGCCUUGCAGAUUUGGAGAAUAAUUUAUGAGUUUUGAGUGAAGGAAAAAUCAAGGGAGAGUUAAGAGUUAUAUGGAAAGAGGAGUCGCAUUCUUUUGGAUUCUUGGAAGGACAAUAUUUGGAGAAUUUUCUCUGCUGUGCACUAACAGAAGGAUUAACUACCUAUAAUGCAAGUUCCAUACCCAUUUGCAUUGUAUCUGGAAAAGCAUAAGAAUUUAGAAAACAUCAAUCAAGUCAAUCUUCUUCAUCAAUCAAUUAAUCAAUCAAUCAUGCUAACAUAUACGCAGUAGAAU
rnacentral:misc_RNA from 1 species